rnacentral:lncRNA from 1 species
GGAAUAUGGGGGCCUUUGUCUCCGGCUGCAGCUGGAGUUCUACGUCUAGUCUUCAGAGGCCCAGUCUCCGUGACUUUGUGACCUGCAGGUAUUGGGAGAUCCACAGCUAAGAUGCCAGGACCCCCUGGAAGCCUAGAAAUGGUGAACAGGGUCUGGAGUGGACCUCUAGCAAGCUGCAACAGACCUGCGGAAGAGAGGCCUGUUAGAAGAAAAACUAACAAACAGAAAGCAACAACAUCAACAUCAACAUAAAGGACCACCACACAAAAACCCCAUCCAAUGUCAUCAGCCUCAAAGAUCAAAGGUAGAUAAGUCCAUGAAGAUGAGUAAAAACCAGUGCAAAAACACUGAAAAUUCAAAAAAUGAGAAUGCCUCUUCUCCUUCAAAUGAUCACAACCCCUCUCCAGCAAGGGCACAAAACUGGAUGGAGCAGGCUGGGUGCAGUGGCUUAAGCCUGUAAUCCCAGAACUUUGGGAGGCCAAGGCUGAGGCAGGUGGAUCACUUGAGGUCAGGAGUUCAAGACCAGCCUGACCAAGAUGGUAAAACCCUGUCUCUACUAAAAUACAAAAAUUAGCUGGGUAUGGUGGCAGGUGCCUGUAAUCCCAGUUAAUUGGGAGGCUGAGGCAGGAGAAUUGCUUGAACCCAGGUGGCAGAGGAUGCAGUAAGCCAAGACUGCACCACUGCAAUCCAGCCUGGGCGACAGAGCGAGACUCUGUCUCAAAAAAACAAACAAACAAAAACUGGACGGAGAAUGAGAUUGACGAAUUGACAGAAGUAGGCUUCAAAAGGUGGGUAAUAACAAACUCCUCUGAGCUAAAGGAGCAUGCUCUAACUCAAUGCAAGGAAGCUAAGAACCUUGACAAAAGGUUAGAGGAAUUGCUAACUAGAAUAAUCAGUUUAGACAGGAACAUAAAUGACCUGAUGGAGCUGAAAAACACAGCAUGAGAACUCUGCGAAGCAUACACAAGUAUCAAUAGCCAAAUCAAUCACGCGAAAGAAAGGAUAUGAGACUGGAGAUUAACUCAAUAGAAUAAGUCGUGAAGACAACAUUAGAGAAAAAAUAACAAAAAGGAAUGAACAAAGCCUCCAAGAAAGAUGGGAGUAUGUAAAAAAACCAAACCUAUGAUUGAUUGGUGUACCUGAAAGUGAUGUGGAUAUUAUCCAGAAGUUCCCCAACCUAGAAAGACAAGCCAACGUUCAAAUUCAGGAAAUAAAAAGAACACCACUAAGACACUCCUCGAGAAGAGCAACCCCAAGACACAAAAUCAUCAGAUUCUCCAAGGUUGAAAUGAAGGAAAAAAUGUUAAGGGCAGCCAGAGAGAAAGGCCAGGUUACCUACAAAGGGAAGUCUAUCAGACUAACAGCAGAACACUCUGUAGAAACACUAAAAGACAGAAGAGAGUAGGAGCCAAUAUUCAAUAUUCUUUUUUGUUUGUUUGAGACAGAGUUUUGAUUAUUGCUCAGGCUGGGGUGCAAUGGCACGAUCUUGGCUCACCAUAACCUCCAACUCCUGGGUUCAAGCGAUUCUCCUGCCUCAGCUUCACGAGUAGCUGAAAUUACAGGUGCACGCCACCACGCCCGGUUUUUGGGCUCACGCCUGUAAUCCCAGCACUUUGGGAGGCCAAGGAGGGUGGAUCACCUGAGAUUGGGAGUUCAAGACCAACCUGGCCAACAUGGUGAAAUCCUAUCUCUACUAAAAAUACAAAAAUCAGCCAGGCAUGGUGGCAGGCACCUAUAAUCCCACCUAUUCUGGAGGCUGAGGCAGGAUAAUCACUUGAACCUGACAGGCAGGGGUUGCAGUGAGCCAAGAUCAUGCCACUGCACUCCAGCCUGGGCAACAGAGCGAGACUCCAUCUCAAAAAAAAAAAAAAAAAAAAAAGCAAAAGAAUUUUCAACCCAGAAUUUCAUAUCCAGCCAAACUAAGCUUCGUAUGCAAAGGAGAAAGAAAAUCCUUUACAGACGAGCAAAUGCUGAGGGAUUUUGUCACCACCAGGCCUCCCUUAGAAGAGGUCCUGAAGGAAGCACUAAAUAUGGAAAGGAAAAACCAGUACCAGCCACUGCAAAAACACAUCGAACUAUAAAGUCCAAUGACACUAUGAAGAAACUGCAUCAACUAAUGUGCAAUAUAACCAGUUAGCAUCAUGAUGACAGGAUCAAAUUCACGCAUAACAAUAUUAAUUUUAUAUGUAAAUAGGCUAAAUGCCCCAAUUAAAAGACACAGACUGGCAAAUUGGAUAAAGGGUCAAGACUGUGCUGUAUGCAGGAGACCUAUCUCACAUGCAGAGAGACACAUAGGCUCAAAAUAAAGGGAUGGAGGAAUAUUUACUUACCAAGCAAACGGAAAGAAAAAAAAAAAAGCAGGGAUUGCAGUCCUAGUCUCUGAUAAAACAGACUUUAAACCAACAAAGAUCAAAAAAGACAAAGAAGGGCAUUACAUAAUGGUAAAGGGAUCAAUGCAACAAGAAGAGCUAACUAUCCUUAAUAUAUAUGCAGCCAAUACAGGAGCCCCCAGAUUGAUAAAACAAGUUCUUAGUAACUUACAAAGAAACUUAGAUGCCCACACAAUAAUAGUGGGAGACUUUAACACCCCAGUGUCAAUAUUAGACAGAUAACAAGACCGAAAAUUAGCAAGGAUAUUCAGGACUUCAACUCAGCUCUGGACCAAACGAACCUAAUAGACAUCUCCAGAACUCUCCACCCCAAAUCAACAGAAUAUACAUUCUUCUCAGUGCCACAUAGCACUUAUUCUGAAAUCAACCACAUAAUUGGAAGUAAAACACUCCUCAGCAAAUGCAAAAGAACUGAAAUCAUAACAAACAGUCUAUCAGAUGACAGUGCAAUCAAAUUAGAACUCAGGAUUAAGAAAUUCACUCCAAACUGCACAACUACAUGGAAAUUGAACAAUCUGCUGCUGAAUGACUACUGGGUAAAUAAUAAAAUUAAGGCAGAAAUACGAGUGCCUGCGAUUGCAGGCGCACGCCGCCGUGCCUGACUGGUUUUCGUAUUUUUUUUGGUGGAUACGGGGUUUCGCUGUGUUGGCUGGGCUGGUCUCCAGCUCCUAACCGCGAGUGAUCCACCAGCCUCAGCCCCCCGAGGUGCCGGGAUUGCAGACGGAGUCUCGUUCACUCAGUGCUCAAUGGUGCCCAGGCUGGAGUGCAGUGGCAUGAUCUCGGCUCGCUACAACCUCCACCUCCCAGCUGCCUGCCUUGGCCUCCCAAAGUGCCGAGAUUGCAGCCUCUGCCCGGCCGCCACCCCUUCUGGGAAGUGAGGAGCGUCUCUUCCUGGCCACCCAUCGUCUGGGAUGUGAGGAGCCCCUCUGCCUGGCUGCCCAGCCUGGGAAGUGAGGAACGCCUCUUCCCGGCUGCCAUCCCAUCUAGGAAGUGAGGAGCGUCUCUGCCCGGCCGCCCAUCGUCUGAGAUGUGGGGAGCGCCUCUGCCCCGCCGCCCCAUCUGGGAUGUGAGGAGCGCCUCUGCCCGGCCACGACCCCGUCUGGGAGGUGAGGAGCGUCUCUGCCUGGCCGCCCCGUCUGAGAAGUGAGGAGCCCCUCCGCCCAGCAGCCGCCCCGUCUGAGAAGUGAGGAGCCCCUCCGCCCGGCAGCCACCCCGUCUGGGAAGUGAGGAGCGUCUCUGCCUGGCAGCCACCCCAUCCGGGAGGGAGGUGGGGGUCAGCCCCCGCCCGGCCAGCCGCCCCAUCCGGGAGGGAGGUGGGGGGCCAGCCCCCGCCCGGCCAGCCACCCCUUCCGGGAGGGAGGUGGGGGGCCAGCCCCCGCCCAGCCAGCCGCCCCGUCCGGGAGGGAGGUGGGGGGUCAGCCCCCGCCCGGCCAGCCACCCCGUCCGGGAGGUGGGGGGCGCCUCUGCCCGGUCGCCCCUUCUGGGAAGUGAGGAGCCCCUCUGCCCGGCCACCACCCCAUCUGGGAUGUGUACCCAACAGCUCAUUGAGAACGGGUCAUGAUGACAAUGGCGGUUUUGUGGAAUAGAAAAGGGGGAAAGGUGGGGAAAAGAUUGAGAAAUCGGAUGGUUGUUGUGUCUGUGUAGAAAGAAAUAGACAUGGAAGACUUUUCAUUUUGUUCUGUACUAAGAAAAAUUCUUCUGCCUUGGGAUCCUGUUGAUCUAUGACCUUACCGCCAACCCUGUGCUCUCUGAAACAUGUGCUGUGUCCACUCAAGGUUAAAUGGAUUAAGGGCGGUGCAAGAUGUGCUUUGUUAAACAGAUGCUUGAAGGCAGCAUGCUCGUUAAGAGUCAUCACCACUCCCUAAUCUCAAGUACCCAGGGACACAAACACUGCGGAAGGCCGCAGGGUCCUCUGCCUAGGAAAACCAGAGACCUUUGUUCACUUGUUUAUCUGCUGACCUUCCCUCCACUAUUGUCCUAUGACCCUGCCAAAUCUCCCUCUGUGAGAAACACCCAAGAAUGAUCAAUAAAAAAAAAAAAAAAGAAAAAGAAAAAAUUAAGGCAGAAAUAAAGAAGUUCCUUGAAAGCAAUGAGAACAAAGAGACAAAGUACCAGAAUCUCUGGAACACAGCUAAAGCAGUGUUAAGCGGAAAAUUAUUGCACCAAAUGCCCACAUCAGAAAGCUGAAAGGAUCUAAAAUCAACACCCUAACAUCACAAUUAAAAGAACUAUAGAAGCAAGAACAAACAAAUUCAAAAGCUAGCAGAACACAAGAAAUAACUAAGAUUAGAGUAGAACUGAAGGAGAUAGAGACACAAAAAACCCUUCAAAAAAUCAAUGAAUCCAGGAGCUGUUUUUUGAAAACAUAGACAAAAUACAUAGACUGCCAGCUAGACUAAUAAAGAAAAGAGAGAAGAAUCAAAUAGACACAAUAAAAAUGAUAAAUAGGAUAUCACCACUGAUCUGACAGAAAUACAAACUACCAACAGAGAAUACUAUAAACACCUCUUUGCAAAUAAACUAGAAAAUUUAGAAAAAAAUGGAUAAAUUCCUGGACACAUACACACACCCUCCCAAGACUAAACCAGGAAGAAGUCAAAUCCCUGAAUAGACCAAUAACAAGUUCUGAAAUUGAGGCAGUAAUUAAUAGCCUACCAACCAAAAAAAGCCCAGGACCACAUGGAUUCACAGCCAAAUUCUAUCAGAGAUACAAAGAGGAGCUGGUAUCAUUCCUUCUGAAACUAUUCCAAACAAUGGAAGAAGAGGGACUCCUUCCUAACUCAUUUUAUGAGGCCAGCAUCAUCCUGAUUCCAAAACCUGGCAGAGACACAACAGAAAAAGAAAAUUUCAGGCCAAUAUCCCUGAAUAAUAUUGAAGUGAAAAUCCUCAAUAAAAUACUGGCAAACCAAUUCCAGCAGCGCAUCAAAAAGCUUAUCCACCACGACCAAGUCGGCUUCAUCCUUGGGAUGCAAGGCUGGUUCAACAUAUGCAAAUCAAUAAAAUAAUCCACCACAUAAACAGAACCAAUGACAAAAAACACAUGAUUAUCUCAAUAGAUGCAGAAAAGACUGUUGAUAAAAUUCAACACCCCUUCAUGCUAAAAACUCUCAAUAAACUAGGUAUUGAUGGAACAUAUCUCAAAAUAAUAGAGCUAUUUAUGACAAAUCCAUAGCCAAUAUCAUACUGAAUGGACAAAAGGUGGAAGCAUUCACUUUGAAAACUGGCACAAGACAAGGAUGCCAUCUCCCACAACUCUUUUGUUUUUUGAGACGGAGUUUCACUCGUUUCCCAGGCUAGAGUGCAAUGGCAUGAUCUCGGCUCACCACAACCUCUGCCUCCUGGGUGCAAGUGAUUCUCCUGCCUCAGCCUCCGGAGUAGCUGGGAUUACAGGCGUAUGACAACAUGCCUGGAUAAUUUUGUAUUUUUAGUAGAGACAGAGUUUCUCCAUGUUGGUCAGGCUGGUCUUGCACUCUCAAUCUCAGGUGAUCCACCCGCCUUGGCCUCCCCAAAUGCUGGGAUUACAUGAGUGAGCCACUGCACCUGGCUCCUCCACUCUUAUUCAACAUAGUAUUGGAAGUUUUGGCCAGGGCAAUCAGGCAAGAGAAAUAAAUAAGGGGUAUUCAAAUAGGAAGAGAGGAAGUAAACUUGUCUCUGUUUGCAGAUGACAUGAUUGUAUAUUUAGAAAACCCCAUCGUCUCCACCCAAAAGCUCCUUGAGCUGAUAAGUAACUUCAGGAAAAUCUCAGGAUACAAAAUCAAUGUGUAAAAAUCACAAGCAUUUGGCUGGUCAUGGUGGCUCAUGCCUGUAAUCCCAGCACUUUGGAAGGCUGAGGCAGGUGGAUCAUCUGAGGUCCACCUACUCGGGAGGCUGAGGCAACAGAAUCGCUUUAACCCAGGAGGCAGAGGUUGCAGUGAGCCAAGAUCAUGCCACUGCACUACAGCCUGGGUAACAGAGUGAGACUCUGUCUCAAAAAAAAAAAAAAAAAAAAAAAAAUCACAAGCAUUUCUAUACACCAGCAAUACACAAGCAGAGGGCCAAAUCAUGAGUGAACUCCUAUUCACAAUUGCUACAAAGAGAAUAAAAUACCUAGGAAUACAACUUACAAGGGAUGUGAAGGACCUCUUCAAGAAGAACUACAAAACACUGCUCAUGGAAAUAAGAGAGGACACAAACAAAUGGGAAAAAAUUCCAUGCUCAUGGAUAGGAAUAAUCAAUAUCAUGAAAAUGGCCAUACUGCCCAAAGUAAUUUAUGACUCAAUGCUAUUCCCAUCAAGCUACCAUUGACUUUCUUCACAGAAUUAGAAAAAAACUACUUUAAAUUUCAUAUGGAACCAAAAAAAGAAUCUGUAUAGUCAAGACAAUUUUAUGCAGAAAGAACAAAGCUGGAGUCAUCACGUCACCUGACUUCAAACUAUACUACAAGGAUACAGUAACCAAAACAGCAUGGUACUGUUACCAAAACAGAUAUAUAGACCAAUGGAACAGAACAGAGACCUCAGAAAUAACACCACACAUCUAUAACCAUCUUAUCUGCCACAAACUUGACAAAAACAAGCAAUGGGGAAAGGAUUCCCUUUUUAAUAAAUGGUGCUGGGAAAGCUGGCUAGCCAUAUGCAGAAAACAGAAACUGUACCCCUUCCUUAUAACUUAUACAAAAAUAUACUCAAGAAAAAUUAAAGACUUAAAUGUAAAACCCCAAACCACAAAAACACUAGAAGAAAAUCUAGGUAGUACCAUUCAGGAUAUAGGUAUGGGCAAAGACUUCAUUACUAAAACACAAAAGCAACUGCAACAAAUGCCAAAAUUGACAAAUGGGAUCUAAUCAAACUAAAGAGCUUCUGCACAGCAAAAGAAACUAUCACCAGGGUGAACAGGCAACCUACAGAAUGGGAGAAAAAUUUUGCAAGAUACUCAUCUGACAAAGGUCUAAUAUCCAGAAUAUACAAGGAACUUAAAAAAAUUUAUAAGAAAAAAACAACCCCAUCAAAAAGUGGGCAAAGGAUAUAAAGAGACAUUUCUCAAAAGACAUUUAUGUGGCCAAAAAACGUAUGAAAAAAAGUUCAUCAUCACUAGUCGUUAGAGAAAUGCAAAUCAAACCACAAUGAGAUACUAUCUCAUGCCAGUUAGAAUGGCAAUUAUUAAAAAGUCAGGAAACAACAGAUGCUCGUGAGGCUGUGGAGAAAUGCUUUUACACUGUUGGUAGGACUGUAAAUUAGUUCAACCAUUGUGGAAGACAAUGUGGCAAUCCUUAAGAAUCUAGAACCAGAAAUACCAUUCGACCAAGCAAUCCCAUUACUGGGUAUGUACCCAAAGGAUUAUAAAUCAUUAUACUAUAAACACACAUGCACACAUGUUUAUUGCAGAACUCUUUACAGUAGCAAAGACUUGGAACCAACCCAAAUGUCCAUCAAUGAUAGACUGGAUAAGAAAAUGUGGCACAUAUACACCACAGAAUACUAUGCAGCCAUAAAAAAGAAUGAGUUCAUGUCCUUUGCAGGGGCAUGGAUGAAAUUGGAAGCCAUAAUUCUCAGCAAACUAACACAGGAACAGAAAAUCAAACACCACAUUUUCUCACUCAUAAGUGGGAACUGAACGACGAGAACACAUGGAGACAGGAAGGGGAACAUCACAUACUGGGGCCUGUCAGGGUGUGGGGGGCAAUGGGAGGGAGAGCAUUAGGACAAAUACCUAAUUCAUGUGGGGCUUAAAACCUAGAUGAUGUGUUGAUAGGUGCAGCAAACCACCAUGGCACAUGUAUACAUAUGUAACAAACCUACAUGUUUUGCACAUGUAUCACAGAAAUUAAAAAAUUUAAAUUUAAAAACAUAAAAAAUAAAAUCAUCUAUAUAUUUAUAUAUAUAUAUAUUUAUAUAUGUAUAUACACCACGAUUUGAACCCCGUUGAAGACCAAUUUUACACAAAAGUCCCCUAAUUAACAUUGUUUCUAGGAUAUAAAAACUUGUGCAUACAUUGAGGACAUUUUGCAGAAACAAAAAUCCUUACAAAACUCUGUUAAUUCCAAUAUUACAGUUUGAAAUUAGCCUGUGCUGACAAUAACUUAAGUAAACAAAAUUUCCAAACUUAGUAAUAAAAGUAAUUUAAAAAAACUGAAGCAAAGAUAAUUGUUAUAAAGACAGUACCAUGUAUCCUACAUAAUAGAGUAUUUCUAGUUGUAGUUUUUUUGUUUUGUUUUUUUUUUUGAGACAGAGUCUCACUCUGUCUCCCAGGCUGCAGUGCAGUGGUGCUAUCUUGGCUCACUGCAACCUCCACCUCCCGGGUUUAAGCAGUUCUCCUGCCUCAGCCUCUCAAGUAGCUGGGACUACAGGCGCAUGCCACCAUGCCUGGCUAAUUUUUAUAUUUUUAGUAGAGCUGUGGUUUCACUCUGUUGGUCCAGCUGGUCUCAAACUCCUGACCGCAGGUGAUCCACCCGACUCAGCCUCCCAAAGUGUUAAGAUAACAAAUGUGAACCACCGCACCUGUCCUGUAUACUUCUUUAAUUUGAAAACUGUCAAAGAUGUCUACACUCAAAGAAAAAUCUGGAAUAGUCUUCAUAUUCUCUAUCCAAGGCUUCUUUGAAGAGCUCAACAAUAGGAUGUGUGUUGCCUUCCAUUUAUAUAGCAAAGAGGGAAGCAAAAAAAAAUGGCAAAAAGUAGAAUAUUCAGAAGAAUAUUGAAAUAUUAAAACGAACUAGGAAACUUUUCAGAAAUAAUUUGGGUUUUUGCCUACUUGAUGUCACAACUUACCUGAUUAAUAUUUUCUGUGUGUCUGUGUGUGCGUCCAUAUGACUGAGUUCUUAUAGCCUUAGUACCCUUUUAAAUUGACAAAUGGUCAAUUUAAAAUUCCUUAAAUUGCAUUCAGGAAAUAAAAUUCCUUAAAUUGCAUUCAGGAAAAUAAAAAAAUUUAGGCUUGGAGGCUGAGCGUGGUGGCUCAUGCCUGUAAUCCCAGCACUUUGGGAGGUGGAGGUGGGCAGAUCACUUUAGGUCAGGAGUUCAAAACCAGCCUGGCAAACAUGGUGAAACCCAUUUCUACUAAAAAUCCAAAAAAUAGCCAGGCAUGGUAGCUCACACCUGUAGUCACAGCUACUCGGGAGGCUGAGGCAGGAGAAUUGCUUGAACCCUGGAGGCAGAGGUUGCAGUGAGCCAAGAU